CGGAGGUACUCGAGUGGCGAACGGGUGAGUAACACGUGGGUGAUCUGCCCUGCACUCUGGGAUAAGCCUUGGAAACUGGGUCUAAUACCGGAUAGGACCAUGCUUUAGUGUGUGUGGUGGAAAGUUUUUUCGGUGUAGGAUGAGCCCGCGGCCUAUCAGCUUGUUGGUGGGGUAAUGGCCUACCAAGGCGGCGACGGGUAGCCGGACUGAGAGGUUGGUCGGCCACAUUGGGACUGAGAUACGGCCCAG
rnacentral:rRNA from 1 species